rnacentral:rRNA from 1 species
UGGGGAAUCUUGGACAAUGGGCGCAAGCCUGAUCCAGCAAUACCGCGUGGGUGAUGAAGGUCUUCGGAUUGUAAAGCCCUUUUAGUGAGGAAGAUAGUGACGGUACUCACAGAAAAAGCACCGGCAAACUUCGUGCCAGCAGCCGCGGUAAUACGAAGGGUGCUAGCGUUGUUCGGAAUCAUUGGGCGUAAAGGGCGCGUAGGCGGCAAGGUAAGUCAGACGUGAAAGCCCUGGGCUUAACCCAGGAACUGCGUUUGAUACUGCCAUGCUUGAGUUCGGUAGAGGGUAGUGGAAUUCCCGGUGUAGAGGUGAAAUUCGUAGAUAUCGGGAGGAACACCAGUGGCGAAAGCGGCUACCUGGACCGACACUGACGCUAAGGCGCGAAAGCGUGGGGAGCAAACAGGAUUAGAUACCCCCGUAGUCCCUGAGCGGGCUGGCAAGGCGCAU